UGGGGGAUAUUGCACAAUGGGCGAAAGCCUGAUGCAGCGACGCCGCGUGGGGGAUGAAGGCCUUCGGGUUGUAAACUUCUUUUGCUCUGAACAAGGCGCACCAUGGGGUGUGUUGAGUGUAGGGGUUGAUUAGCGCCGGCUAACUACGUGCCAGCAGCCGCGGUAAUACGUAGGGCGCGAGCGUUGUCCGGAAUUAUUGGGCGUAAAGGGCUUGUAGGUGGCUGGUUGCGUCUGUCGUGAAAGCUCAUGGCUUAACUGUGGGUUUGCGGUGGGUACGGGCUGGCUUGAGUGCAGUAGGGGAGGCUGGAAUUCCUGGUGUAGCGGUGGAAUGCGCAGAUAUCAGGAGGAAUACCGGUGGCGAAGGCGGGUCUCUGGGCUGUUACUGACACUGAGGAGAGAAAGAAUGGGGAGCGAACAGG
rnacentral:rRNA from 1 species